rnacentral:rRNA from 1 species
AGUCGUAACAAGGUCUCCGUAGGUGAACCUGCGGAGGGAUCAUUACACAAAUAUGAAGGCGGGCUGGAACCUCUCGGGGUUACAGCCUUGCUGAAUUAUUCACCCUUGUCUUUUGCGUACUUCUUGUUUCCUUGGUGGGUUCGCCCACCACUAGGACAAACAUAAACCUUUUGUAAUUGCAAUCAGCGUCAGUAACAAAUUAAUAAUUACAACUUUCAACAACGGAUCUCUUGGUUCUGGCAUCGAUGAAGAACGCAGCGAAAUGCGAUAAGUAGUGUGAAUUGCAGAAUUCAGUGGAUCAUCGAAUCUUUGAACGCACAUUGCGCCCUUUGGUAUUCCAAAGGGCAUGCCUGUUCGAGCGUCAUUUGUACCCUCAAGCUUUGCUUGGUGUUGGGCGUCUUGUCUCUAGCUUUGCUGGAGACUCGCCUUAAAGUAAUUGGCAGCCGGCCUACUGGUUUCGGAGCGCAGCACAAGUCGCACUCUCUAUCAGCAAAGGUCUAGCAUCCAUUAAGCCUUUUUUUCAACUUUUGACCUCGGAUCAGGUAGGGAUACCCGCUGAACUA